GCAAGUUACUCCAAAUAAACUACAGUAUGAUUAUUUUGUACUUCAAGUGUAAUAACAUUACUGUACUAUUUACACACUUGUAAAUGUUAAACUUGAGAUGUUUGUUAAAUUCACUAUUCACUGGUUAACUACUGGCAGGGCUGUUGGAGCAAUGUUGAAUUUGACAGAAUUGAUCACCCUGAUUAUUAUAAUUAAGGGGUGAUUCAUGGCUUUAGUUCAUGUAGUUCUUUACCUCCACAGCAUUAAAAAUGUGGAAUGUACACCCAGCCAUGGCUUACCUUACAUAUUACAUUUAAUAUUUUACUUAAAAGCACCAUUAAUAUGGUUUCAGUAUCUACUGAGAAUGGUUACAAAGACACUCAUUCUGCGCAGCACCGCUUAAAUUAUGACAAAGUAUGGUGAGAGCAAUUCAAAAGUACAG